ACACGGAGGAUGACCUCGACCCCGCCGCCGCUGGACCUGGAGCACGAGCCCGCUGGCGUGGGUGUAGGGCCCACUCCGUCGCUGGCGUGGGUGUAGGGCCCACUCCGUCGCUGCGGUGGCGGCCCUCUUCAUGGGAAAGAUUGCUAUUUCAAAAGACAUGAUGGUGCAAGAGAUGAUCCUGUCCAGCUAUAAGAAUAUUUGUGUUAAACCUGUAUGGCCUGGUGAUUAGAUUACAAAUUAUCCAAAAAGGUACCUCCAGCUACCUCCUUUGAUCUGACCACAUCUACUGACAUGCUGCUAUGACCUAGCUACAUGACGGAAGAGAACUAUUUAGUAAGAGUGACUUUGUAACUAUUAUCCACCUUGCUCUUUUCAUAUAGCUCAAAUGAGCCAAUUAGUAUAACCAAGAUCUUGUCUUGGUCUCUUGGUUGAUUUCAUCUUGAUCCAGUGAACAUGUAACUUCUCAUUGCUGGAAUGAAGCUACCAAUUUUGUCACAGGUUUAUGAAAAUAGUUUUGGUCAGAAAAUAAAAUCUGAAACUAAGCAGUCAUAGGAUCAACAAUAUAAUUCAAAAAAGGCAUUUCCUAUCUUAUGUUUUUGGACAUUUUCUAAUUUUUUUAUGUUAUUGAAAAUGUCAUGAAGUUUUACCUGGUCAGAGUAUGCUAUCCUUAGUUGUUGCAGAAUAUUCUCAUUCCGCUACCACUGCAGUCCACGCAUUAUUGUCGAUUAUAACAGAAAGGAACAGGCAUUUCUGUUAUGUUAAUAGGCAAUAGUCUGAUGCAACCCAAUCAGUUCCCUGAACAUGGCUCCUACCAGCAGUGCAUGCCAAUAGAAAAAUCAUUUUAGAUGAUGUUGCACAAGUGGUCGGAUUAUCUGUUACAAGAAAUGGCCAUCCAGAUUCGAGAAAAUGAUUAUGCAGGCAAGAUUGAGAUAGCUGGCAUCCCAAAUAAAGACACAUCAAUGUCCGAACCUAGCCAGUUUUAUGGUGACUUUAUGCAAACAGCAGAACAAGCAUUCCCUUGUCCAGCUCCAUGACGACAUCAAUUUGUAUGGAUGGGAACCAAAGCCAGGCAGCCCUAAGCAAGUAUUAUGCUCAUAAAUUAUAUAUAUAUAUAUGUUUUUGUCUACCUUUUUGCAAUUUUGCUGUAUAUUA